rnacentral:rRNA from 1 species
UUAAAUUGAAGAGUUUGAUCAUGGCUCAGAUUGAACGCUGGCGGCAGGCCUAACACAUGCAAGUCGAACGGUAACAGGAAACAGCUUGCUGUUUCGCUGACGAGUGGCGGACGGGUGAGUAAUGUCUGGGAAACUGCCUGAUGGAGGGGGAUAACUACUGGAAACGGUAGCUAAUACCGCAUAACGUCGCAAGACCAAAGAGGGGGACCUUCGGGCCUCUUGCCAUCGGAUGUGCCAGAUGGGAUUAGCUAGUAGGUGGGGUAACGGCUCACCUAGGCGACGAUCCCUAGCUGGUCUGAGAGGAUGACCAGCCACACUGGAACUGAGACACGGUCCAGACUCCUACGGGAGGCAGCAGUGGGGAAUAUUGCACAAUGGGCGCAAGCCUGAUGCAGCCAUGCCGCGUGUAUGAAGAAGGCCUCGGGUUGUAAAGUACUUUCAGCGGGGAGGAAGGGAGUAAAGUUAAUACCUUUGCUCAUUGACGUUACCCGCAGAAGAAGCACCGGCUAACUCCGUGCCAGCAGCCGCGGUAAUACGGAGGGUGCAAGCGUUAAUCGGAAUUACUGGGCGUAAAGCGCACGCAGGCGGUUUGUUAAGUCAGAUGUGAAAUCCCCGGGCUCAACCUGGGAACUGCAUCUGAUACUGGCAAGCUUGAGUCUCGUAGAGGGGGGUAGAAUUCCAGGUGUAGCGGUGAAAUGCGUAGAGAUCUGGAGGAAUACCGGUGGCGAAGGCGGCCCCCUGGACGAAGACUGACGCUCAGGUGCGAAAGCGUGGGGAGCAAACAGGAUUAGAUACCCUGGUAGUCCACGCCGUAAACGAUGUCGACUUGGAGGUUGUGCCCUUGAGGCGUGGCUUCCGGAGCUAACGCGUUAAGUCGACCGCCUGGGGAGUACGGCCGCAAGGUUAAAACUCAAAUGAAUUGACGGGGGCCCGCACAAGCGGUGGAGCAUGUGGUUUAAUUCGAUGCAACGCGAAGAACCUUACCUGGUCUUGACAUCCACGGAAGUUUUCAGAGAUGAGAAUGUGCCUUCGGGAACCGUGAGACAGGUGCUGCAUGGCUGUCGUCAGCUCGUGUUGUGAAAUGUUGGGUUAAGUCCCGCAACGAGCGCAACCCUUAUCCUUUGUUGCCAGCGGUCCGGCCGGGAACUCAAAGGAGACUGCCAGUGAUAAACUGGAGGAAGGUGGGGAUGACGUCAAGUCAUCAUGGCCCUUACGACCAGGGCUACACACGUGCUACAAUGGCGCAUACAAAGAGAAGCGACCUCGCGAGAGCAAGCGGACCUCAUAAAGUGCGUCGUAGUCCGGAUUGGAGUCUGCAACUCGACUCCAUGAAGUCGGAAUCGCUAGUAAUCGUGGAUCAGAAUGCCACGGUGAAUACGUUCCCGGGCCUUGUACACACCGCCCGUCACACCAUGGGAGUGGGUUGCAAAAGAAGUAGGUAGCUUAACCUUCGGGAGGGCGCUUACCACUUUGUGAUUCAUGACUGGGGUGAAGUCGUAACAAGGUAACCGUAGGGGAACCUGCGGUUGGAUCACCUCCUUACCUUAAAGAAGC